CAGGAUUACAACAGGCAGGGAGAAGAAUGGCAGAGGUUUUCUUAUUUGACUUCUGCCCAGAUCCAGUCAGUGCAUCUGCAUUCUCAGCUGCCCAUCAGCACAUUUGCCAUCACCAAACGGGCAGCCUCCAGAGGGCUUGAUGAAUAGUCAGGAACAGUUGGAAAUACUGCCAGAGAGAUGAGUGGGAACUCAAUCAAAACAGGAUUCCUGCCUGAAUGUCAUGCUAAGGAAUUUGGACUUUGCGCACACUACCAUGGAACUUUCAACACCAGGAUCGUGUGACAAAGCUCAUGCAUUAAAAGAUGAUUCUGAAUAUUUGAAGUAAAUCCAUUUAAUUGGAUUAGCUGAUACUUAAAGCAGGAAAAUGAGUGAAAGGGCAAUUAAGCCAAGGGACAAAUUCUUGCUCAGUGUUUUAUUUUUUUCAUUCAUUCAGUAAAUACUCACUUUGCUUCUAUCCUUCAAAGUUGUUCUGAGUAAAAACAAAAAAC
rnacentral:lncRNA from 1 species